UAUCACUUAAGGAUUUUUGAAAGUGUAUUUCACCUUGAAAGGACCUGCUUGAAGCCUACACAGCAGCGAAAUCACUGGAGUCCAGGGUUUUUGUCACACACACACACACACACACACACACACACACACAGCACAGAUUUUUUUGAUUAUGUAGAUUUCUUUUCCUACUGCAGUUUCAUAUGCAAAGCAUGCAUCAGCCACAUCCAUGCUAUCUCCUAAAGCAGUCAUUCUGAAACCCAAUCUGGGGACAGUGCAGACUAAAUAAAAUUUCAUUUUGAUUUGGCCUCCCGCUGCGAAUGGGACUGCUUUGUCUCAGCCGACAGAACCAGCAAGCCAGAAAGGAGACUCAGAGACAGUUAUGGAGCAGGAGGUUGAAGGGAAAGACCUGUGGAGACACCCAGUGCAGAGGAGAAUGCGGCAGAACAAGCUGAGACAGGGGGGACACAUCUCAACUCAGUCUCAGCUAACCCACCAGCUCAGGAGCUGGAAUAGUCCUUCCUUCAAAGUGGCACUAAAUUGAUGAAGGCAAGUCAGAACUCCCUCCACCAUCCAGGAGCUGGUGUGGGAUGCCCUUGGAAAAGGUCUGGCUGGAGAUGCAUGCUCUGAGCCAUUCACUGAGGCUGAAUUAAAAUGCCUGAGUAUCAAUGCCUUGCUUGAGACGUGAGAGAUCACAGACAGUACAAGCACUUAGUAUAUGGACCAGCAGGAGGUGAGCAGAUCUGGAGCCAGGCAAGAAGGAAGGAUGAAGAAGAAGAAGAGAGUUCAGCUAAGGAUGCAACCCUGCCAGAAAGUGUCAACUUGGUCAAGCAUGGGACUCCAGAGGGUUCCGCGGAGAGUGUGCUGGCUUUUCUUAAGGUUCCUGAGCACGCCCACAGCCCUAGAUGGGCAAUUCUGAAGUGGAUGGCCCUGAGGACCACAAACGCAUCAGAAACACAGAACAAAGAGAGGAGCACUGAGCACUGGCAGCCUUGUAGGGAAGAAAAGGGGGGAACACAGCACCAGGGAUAUGGACAGUGGGUGGUACAGGGGACAAGAGCUAGCCAUGGAAGACUUACACAGUUUGGUGCUCCAUAGCCCAUGCCUCGGCUCACUGGAGAAUCGGAUAACACACCACAAUGACUGGAAACCUUGUCUCAGGAGCCGUGGGACAGGAAAUACGGAGACACUGGAGGUUAAUGGGUCUGUGUGCACUUUUAGGCACAACUCAAGAUACGUGGGUCACCAAGAUAGACACUUUCUUUUAAAUGUUUGACUUUAGAAGGCUAUGAAGCAGGUAUGGGGUCCCCAAGGUUUUCCUGUAUUUUAGCACUCACCUACCCUAAUACUAGCAAAGGUGUGUUACCUCCUCUUCUGGCCCCUCCUCCUCCACCUCUUCCUUCUCCUUUCCCCUUCUUUCUCUCCCUUCCUUCCCCCCUCUGUCUGUCUGUCUCAAAUAUAUACAUGAAAAUUGUCUUUGACCUUUUCUUAUGGCUGCUAGUUCUUACCAAGAAUUCAUAGGAUGUCAUCUCGUUUUCUAUCUCCUCUCCCUGGAUUUACGUUUUCUUUUUACAAAUCUUUAUGUUAAAUUAAAGGUUGGUGCAAUGGAAUCCAGCAAGAGAGACCAUACCUUCCAUGGGGGUCUUUCCUUUCUCUCCUAGAAGGAACCCUUCUCUCUAAUUCAGGCUAUGGAGGGGCAGAGAAAUUUGGUAAGGUAUUGGCAAUAGUAUAAGAAGGCUCCAUAGGUACCAACACAUAGACAUGUGCAUGCAGGCAGGCACAGAAGUCUAGGUCUACAGCCUCAGUUAAGCCAUGCGUAUUUCCUUGAGCAUCAACAUUUUAGAUCAACCCUUUCAAAGAAUCUCCAAGUCAAUUUUAUCACUUUUUUAAAAUAGUUGAUGUGACUCACCAACCUGUGAGCCAUACCGACAUUUGGCUACUUUUCCUGGAGCCCAUAUCAUUCCAUUCCCAGAGCUGCAGUGGAGAAAGAAGGAUUGUAUAGGACAGGUCUAAAAUGUGACCUGCAUUUAUAAUCAUCAUAGAUAUAUACUUGUAUAAUAUAGCCCUUUGGGGAAGAUACAGUGAAAUCCUAAAGUGGGAUUUCAAAACAUACUUCAGACUAGCAUACAGCAUUUGCCCUCUAACAGUCUUGCUGUCUGGAGUUCCCUGACUGAGGACAGGGGCAGGCCUAUGUCAGUGUAUGUAGGCAGAACUCAAGCAGCUGGCAUUGUGGUAGAAUUAAAGAUACCCCUGCACAAGCAAUGUAAUCAGCACAUUUUUUUCAGUUCUCUAAAUGUUUAGCAUCAGGUGCAAAACUAUAAUUAGUAGACAAGGCAAACUUUCUUUGCCCGGCAUGAACCUUUCUACAGGGAGCCUGUUAACCUGGGGUCUUGGAGUGAACAGCAGGAGUCAAGGUCAAAUAAGCUUGUUGGUUCCAAACCUGAGGACGUUCGUCAUCAGCCACUGGUCAAUAGUAUCUCCAAGCUAAACUAACACUUACUAAGAAAAAUUAGACAAAAAUAAUAAUAGAUUUACAAACUGUUCUCUGCUGCCACACAUUAAUCUUCUGGCCAAAAUAUUCCAACCAGGAAUUUAGAAAAACCUAUCCUAAAAUAUAUUCUGGAGGGAAAAAAACAAACAAAACAAAACACAGUGCCCUUCUAUGAAGCAACACUUAUUCUAGUACAAAAGAAAGCUGAGACUGGGCCAGCUAGGUUUGGGCAUGCUGGGUUCAUCGCAGUUGAACAGGUUUCCUUUCCCAUCAACUUCUCAGAGCCUUCAAUAUUUGCACAUAUGCAGUGAGUGUCUAAACGGGGCCAUGUGCACUCAAACUAUGUGUGCCUCAUAAACAUGGGGCUUUUUUAACCCAGUUGCCUGUGUUGAACACAGGAAGACUUAUCAAAAUGGGUGAAAAUCCUGCCUACUGCAAAGUUGUACUGAUAUUCAAAGCAGGAUGCAGGAGUGGAGAGAUACAAUAUUUCAAAAAACAAGGGACCCCACACACCAUCACUUCAUCUUUGCUUUUCCAACAGAUUUAAACCAAAAGUGGGGGGGGGGGAAUAAGCAAAACUCCCCAAGGCUAUCCAUGCUAAAAGGCAUUGUGUUCUGAGGAUGAGGAAGGAAAGGUGAAGGUCUGUACUGCACCAGAGGUCACUGGAGGGGAAGAGCAGCACACGGGAAUAAAUUCGGUGCUCAUGGACACAUGACCGGGUGGCAAAUUCUUCAAAUGUUCGGUUUAAACCACCACAGGGUUUGGUCUUUCCUUCUGAAAGCCGGGCCUUAUCGUUCCACAAUGAGGUGGCCUCACUUUUUGAAUCAGUAUUUAAUUCAUUUGAGCUAACCCUGAAAGCAGCGAGUACUGUCAGAGUUGGCCGAGGGGGCUUAAAAUUUAUGUUUUAAUUACUUGGCCAGUUCAUCAGAACGUAGACACGGUGUCUGUGGUGAGGGCUUUGAAAAGAUUGCUGAAGAGGAAAGGCUCCCGGCACAUAGAGCCCAUUCAUGGCAUGUUUAUGGGCUCUACCUGUAAAGGAAAGGCUCUGAGAAGGUGCAGUGGCAGGGAAAUUGAUGCAGAUUUCUUGUUCAUCAGAUUCUGCCCGAGCACAUUUGAUUCUGCAAAAUGGAAAGCUGGAAAUGGCCUUGUGAAUUUGAAGGGGAAUAUUGCUACUAUGCAGAAAAAUAAAAAAUAAAGUCUGAAUUGGUAUAAAAAUAGCACACUGACAAGAAAGUUUCUAGAGGAAAUUUAGUAAGAGUCCCCCCCACCCCCCACCCCCGCUUUCUUUUUUUUUUUUUUCUGUGAACUGUGUAAUCUCAAGUGCAAAGGAUCAAACUCACAAAGGCACUGCCUGUUGGAAGAGAAACCCCAAGCUAUUGCUAAUGACACACGGCGGAGCUCCUACGGGCCCUAGAGUAAGGACUCGGUGAAAUCAAUGAGAUUGAUUGUACUCAACCAAAACCUUGACUUUGUAUAGUGAAGUUGAGAAAUUCAAGUUAAGCAUGGCUUUGGUUCCCCUCCAUAAAAAUCCUAGAGCUGGUCAAUACACAGGCAACAUGGCUCAGCCUAAAGUGAUCACAUGCCCAGCCUCCAGCUCUGCUCUCCUGGGACAGAUGGUCCAGGAGAGUAGAAGGUCAUUAACGGCCUCAUCCCCAUUAUUGUAGGCCCAAAGACCAUCCUGAUGCACUCUGCUCUAGGAGGCCUAGAAAACCCACAUCUUUCAUAGUAAUGACUUCCAGUUUACAGCCUUCAUUUGUUAUAUUUCCUCAAUAGCUGUUGUGUUGAGAUUAACUGCAUAAAUGGUCUGCAGCUGUCUGUUAUGAAUUAAGGGAGUUUAAUCAAAGUAUUUCUAAUGUACAGCAUAAUGAUAAUACAUGGGGGAAGUACUAUUUAAGAGAUAAUGAUGGCUUCAGAAGAUCACUGUUGUAAUGUUUAGUGCAUAUGCCUUCAGCAUUGAAUUUGUUGUUGUUCUGAAUAUGCUUAAUGGAUCACUGAAAAGCUGCCUAAUGCGGGAUUGUUUGAUGGGGCUGACAGAGCUGGAAUUAGCCCAUUGCUGUUUACUGCAUACAGCCAUUAAGAUUAAUUGCUGCCAGAUAAUUUUGACUGUUUUUAUCUUCUGGAAAAAGUGUCACUAAUGGGUUUAUAAAUUGGUUCACUAUUACUAAUAGUAAGGCCAGUGUAACAGGAUAGAAUGUCAGCUAAUUCCAAAGAUAAAGGUAAAAAGUAUAAAGUACUGUAUGGCUUGCUGGUUUUAAGGGAUACUGUUAUCUAAUAACAGACAGACUGAUAUAUGAUGCUCAUUAAUGCUACUUCCUGAGAUUCGGGUUGAACCUAAUAGAUGCUAAUAAACUCUUAUUUGAUGUCCCAUUAAAAAGCUCAAUCUGCUUUCUGCAUUAAUGCCCAGUGUUGUUUAUCACAACUUUGAUGACUGAACCCCAAAUUCUAAUCUGUUUUGUAACCAAGUGCUGUCUGAGCACCUGGGCCUUAGUGCUGGUAGAUAUAAAACUCAUAGGACCAAGCCAGAGAAUUAAGAAAGUGCAUGAAUUUAUAAGCAUGGUAUAUGAUUUGAAGUUCUUCUUGCAUGUUCCUAAUUCAGGUAUUUUUGUGUAGUGCAAACUUCUAGAAACACUAUAUGGAUAUCCUACUCAUUGUUUAGAGACCAUUCACAAUUAAAUAAAAUUUCCAACAUAUAGGUAUUUUAACUUAGUGACUAGAAAAACACUUCUCAUACUUAACUCUUACCACAUUAUAGGAUUAGAAAAUUCUGUGCAUACUUUUCUAAGAAAGUAAAAUGAAUGUAGGCAUUUUCCAGUGAUAUGAUUCUUGCAAAUUACUUGUGGAUGACCCUAUAGAUGCCAGGGGAUCCUUCCAACCUAGCUUCAUGCAUUUGAGUUGAGUAACUUUACAUAAACUUUAACUAAAACUCAACAGGUCUGUAAUUUUGCCAGUUCACCACAACUGACAAUGAAAGUCCUUGAGUGUUCAAUUUCAAGUAUAUUCUUUACAUCACAGAGAGCUGGGAGUAACUUGAAAAGAAUACAAACAGACAGAUAAACAACAAACACUUAAGACGAGUCAGAACAGGUAAUUCCAGAACUGUGAAGGUGUUCUUUCCUCAGUAAUGGAUCCUGUGAAGUGAUUAAGCAUUGUUCUUCAAAAUCAA